rnacentral:rRNA from 1 species
UCCAGACUCCUACGGGAGGCAGCAGUGGGGGAUAUUGCACAAUGGGGGGAACCCUGAUGCAGCGACGCCGCGUGGGUGAAGGAGUGUUUCGGCAUGUAAAGCCCUAUCGGCAGGGAAGAAGCAAGACGGUACCUGACUAAGAAGCCCCGGCUAACUACGUGCCAGCAGCCGCGGUAAUACGUAGGGGGCGAGCGUUAUCCGGAUUCACUGGGUGUAAAGGGAGCGUAGACGGCCAUGCAAGCCAGGGGUGAAAGCCCGGGGCCCAACCCCGGGACUGCCCUUGGAACUGCAUGGCUGGAGUGCGGGAGGGGCAGGCGGAAUUCCUGGUGUAGCGGUGAAAUGCGUAGAUAUCAGGAGGAACACCGGCGGCGAAGGCGGCCUACUGGACCGCGACUGACGUUGAGGCUCGAAAGCGUGGGGAGCGAACAGGAUUAGAUACCCCAGUACU